CGCAUCUGUGCAUGCAGCAUAUCAAUAAGCGGAGGAAAAGAAACUAACAAGGAUUCCCUUAGUAACGGCGAGUGAAGCGGGAAGAGCUCAAAUUUGAAAUCUUCAAGGUUUUACCUUGACGAAUUGUAGUUUAAAGAAGUGUUUUCUGUUGGAGUUUUGGUAAAAGUUCUUUGGAAUAGGACAUCAUAGAGGGUGAGAAUCCCGUAUUUGACCAUUAUUUUCAGCUGUGUGAUACACUUUCAAAGAGUCGGAUUGUUUGGGAAUGCAGUCCAAAAUGGGUGGUAAAUUUCAUCUAAAGCUAAAUAUUGGCGAGAGACCGAUAGCGAACAAGUACCGUGAGGGAAAGAUGAAAAGAACUUUGAAAAGAGAGCUAAACAGUACGUGAAAUUGUCAAAAGGGAAGCGUUUGACACCAGUGUUGUUUUCUCGAAAAUCAAUUAAAAAGAGUUAGAUUUUGUUGUGUAUUGACCUUAACAGCUUGCAUUUCAAUUUUCUUGCUUUUUUUAAUGCACUUUUCGUUUAACAAGUCAACAUCAGUUUCUUUUGUUGUAAAAAGGUCAUUGGAAGGUGGCUUUCUUUUCGGAGAAAGUGUUUAUAGCCUUUGACUCCUGCAAUCGGAGAGACUGAGGUCUGCAGCGUAGAUCCUUCGGGGUUAGAUACAUUUGUGCUAAGUUAUAGCUUUUUAUAGACAACUUGUUGACUAUGAUUAGUCUUGUAGCUUACUCGCUUAUGCUAUUUUACCUACGCUUAGGAUGUUGAUGUGAUACUGCGAGC
rnacentral:rRNA from 1 species